rnacentral:lncRNA from 1 species
CCCCCCCCUCCGUCUCUCUCCCCUGUCUCUCUUUUCUUCAUUCAUUUGCUUUGGUUCUUCACGCCCAGAUUCACUCUCAGUAAAACUCAAACCAGAAAAUAUAAAACCCACAUUUUUCCUUCUUUGCAUUUGCUUUCUCUUGAAUUCAAACCUAUAUUUUUCUUCUUUUAAUUUACUUACUUUCUCUUCAAAUCAAACCCAGAAAAAUCCCCAAUUUUUUUUUUUCAAUUUGCAGAGGCUUCGUCGGAUCGUCGGAUCUGCAAAUUCAUUUCAAUCGACCUCUCCAAAUCAACGUCAAUCGAUCUUGCAGAAGAAAGAGACAAACUUGCUGGCACAUCUUCUCUUGGCAAACUCGAGUAGGGCGUGACAGUUGGUGCGGGAUUUGGAAGAAGAAGCAAGUUGAGGAAGACAAAGACAAAGUGAGUUGAGGAAGACGAAGACCAAGCAAACGAAGCGAAGCGAUGGUCUUAGGAAUCCCAUCCUUUUUGGGCGGUCUCGCUAAGACCGGUUAGUGAAGAGUUUAGUCGGCAUGAGUCCGACGUAGUCCCAUUAAACACAAUCCUGGCUCGCACCAAACACGGGAUUAAUAUUCUUAGUAAGCCAGUCCAAUCCAGUGAUACUUAGUGAGUGCAAACAAACACGCCCUAAUAGUUGUCAUAGAGAAAAAUAAGUUUUGUUAUUGAUGGAUGGUGAUUUUGAAGUUUUGAAUCCUCCAACCAAGUUAUGAUUCAAUUUAUAAAUUUUUUGUUCGUUUGAUUUCAAUUUAUGAAUUGGCAAACCAUGAGUUGCAAUUAGAAAACCAUGAUCUGACUUCGAUACGAUCAACAAUUUCAUUAGCCUUAAUUGCAAUUAGAAAACUAUACGAUUCUGCUUGUUUAUCCUACGUUUAUUCUAGCUAAAACCCUAAUAGUUGUCAUAGAGAAAAAUAAGUUUUGUUAUUGAUGGAUGGUGAUUUUGAAGUUUUGAAUCCUCCAACCAAGUUAUGAUUCAAUUUAUAAAUUUUUUGUUCGUUUGAUUUCAAUUUAUGAAUUGGCAAACCAUGAGUUGCAAUUAGAAAACCAUGAUCUGACUUCGAUACGAUCAACAAUUUCAUUAGCCUUAAUUGCAAUUAGAAAACUAUACGAUUCUGCUUGUUUAUCCUACGUUUAUUCUAGCUAAAACCCUAAGAGUGCGUUUGUUGCAUCGGACUGUCCCGGACUGGACUAGCUGCAUGGACUAAGCUGGACUGGCUUAGACUAGACUAAGCUGGACUAGCUUAGUGAAGCGUUUGAUGCAGUGUCGGACUAAGAAGCAGGAUAAUUAAAAAAGUACUGUUACCAAUUUGAUGUUUGCUUAUAUUAUGACUACAUUAUUGUUCUAUUUUAAUUACUUUUUAUAUUAAAGAUAUUAUUAAAAUUAAUAAUAUUGGAUUAGAGUGAGACUCAAUAAAAAUAUAAAAACCAAAUAUUCUUGCCAAUGAAAGAAACAUACAUGAUUCAGGAAGCGUUUGUUGUACCGGACUUUCUCGAAUUGGACUAAGUUAGACUGACUUGACUUAGACUAAGCUGGAUAAGAAUAGUGGAGUGUUUAGAGUUCAAAACUUCUUUUUGUCAUUCAUUAAUUCAUUUUACUAUUAUUAAUACACCUUUUUUAUCUUAAAAAAAAAACAAAAUACAACUAUUUUUAUUUGACUUCAGGAAGCGUUUGUUGUACCGGACUUUCUCGAAUUGGACUAAGUUAGACUGACUUGACUUAGACUAAGCUGGAUAAGAAUAGUGGAGUGUUUAGAGUUCAAAACUUCUUUUGUCAUUCAUUAAUUCAUUUUACUAUUAUUAAUACACCUUUUUUAUCUUAAAAAAAAAACAAAAUACAACUAUUUUUAUUUGACUCUCUCUCUCCCCCCCCCCCCCCCCCCCGUCUCUCUCCCCUGUCUCUCUUUUCUUCAUUCAUUUGCUUUGGUUCUUCACGCCCAGAUUCACUCUCAGUAAAACUCAAACCAGAAAAUAUAAAACCCACAUUUUUCCUUCUUUGCAUUUGCUUUCUCUUGAAUUCAAACCUAUAUUUUUCUUCUUUUAAUUUACUUACUUUCUCUUCAAAUCAAACCCAGAAAAAUCCCCAAUUUUUUUUUUCAAUUUGCAGAGGCUUCGUCGGAUCGUCGGAUCUGCAAAUUCAUUUCAAUCGACCUCUCCAAAUCAACGUCAAUCGAUCUUGCAGAAGAAAGAGACAAACUUGCUGGCGCAUCUUCUCUUGGCAAACUCGAGUAGGGCGUGACAGUUGGUGCGGGAUUUGGAAGAAGAAGCAAGUUGAGGAAGACAAAGACAAAGUGAGUUGAGGAAGACGAAGACCAAGCAAACGAAGCGAAGCGAUGGUCUUAGGAAUCCCAUCCUUUUUGGGCGGUCUCGCUAAGACCGGUUAGUGAAGAGUUUAGUCGGCACGAGUCCGACGUAGUCCCAUUAAACACAAUCCUGGCUCGCACCAAACACGGGAUUAAUAUUCUUAGUAAGCCAGUCCAAUCCAGUGAUACUUAGUGAGUGCAAACAAACACGCCCUAAUAGUUGUCAUAGAGAAAAAUAAGUUUUGUUAUUGAUGGAUGGUGAUUUUGAAGUUUUGAAUCCUCCAACCAAGUUAUGAUUCAAUUUAUAAAUUUUUUGUUCGUUUGAUUUCAAUUUAUGAAUUGGCAAACCAUGAGUUGCAAUUAGAAAACCAUGAUCUGACUUCGAUACGAUCAACAAUUUCAUUAGCCUUAAUUGCAAUUAGAAAACUAUACGAUUCUGCUCAACCUUGGUUGUUUCCAGUUUCUCUCAUUGUCAAUUCCGGCAUCUAGAAAUGACUGAAGAGUACGGGAAGGACAACUUAAUCACACAAAGUGAAGCCUUUCUCAAUCAAGUAGUUCUUUGACAUUGCAAGGACUCUCUAAAGGCACUUCAAACUUGUGAUGACACUCUCCCUUAUGCUGAAGAACUCAACAUUCCAAAAAGGUGCAUGGAAUCACUUGCCACAAAAGCAUCUACUGAUCCUAAUUUGUUUGGGUGGCCUGUCAAGGAGCAUGGCGGCCCCAUGCAAAGUCCUGGUGGGAGUGUCCUGUGGAAUGGAUUAAGUACGGGGGCCAGACUAAAGAAAUCAAGUUCAGUUUACAGGAGGAGCUUCCUCCCAUCAAAUUUAGCUUCUAAAAAUCAAAUGAGUGUAAAAAUAAAUUCACAUAUUGAAUUGGGUUUAUGUGGGUAUAUUAGGUAUUAAAUUUGGGUUUAAAAAGAUAUUAAUAGUUUAGUUAAAAAUCAAAUGGGUGCAAAGAGUAAGUUGGAUGUAGAAAUAGGUUAGAUGAGUUUAAAUAAAAUUUCCCUUUAUACUAUUCCUCUAAUAAUGAUGAGUCAUUUGAAUCGAUGGGUCCUACCUCUAUUAGAGAGAUGAUACAAAUAAAUCAUAAGUUUUUCUUUUUGGUUUAUUAUAAGUUUAGCACCAUUGUUUCAUCAAUAGCAUUAUGAACUCCAUUGGCUC